GAUUAUGGCUCAGGAUGAACGCUGGCGGCGUGCCUAAUACAUGCAAGUCGAACGCUUCACUUCGGUGAAGAGUGGCGAACGGGUGAGUAAUACAUAAGUAACCUGGCAUCUACAGGGGGAUAACUGAUGGAAACGUCAGCUAAGACCGCAUAGGUGUAGAGAUCGCAUGAACUCUAUAUGAAAAGUGCUACGGGACUGGUAGAUGAUGGACUUAUGGCGCAUUAG
rnacentral:rRNA from 1 species